rnacentral:rRNA from 1 species
CUUCGGAUUGUAAAGAUCUGUCCUAUGGGACGAACACAAUGACGGUACCAUAGGAGGAAGCCCCGGCUAACUACGUGCCAGCAGCCGCGGUAAUACGUAGGGGGCUAGCGUUGUCCGGAAUUACUGGGCGUAAAGGGUGCGCAGGCGGCAUUUUAAGUCAGAUGUGAAAUACCCGGGCUUAACCCGGGGGGUGCAUUUGAAACUGGAAUGCUUGAGUGCAGGAGAGGUAAGUGGAAUUCCUAGUGUAGCGGUGAAAUGCGUAGAUAUUAGGAGGAACACCAGUGGCGAAGCGACUUACUGNACUGUACUGACGCUGAGCACGAAAGCGUGGGGAGCAAACAGGAUUAGAUACCCUGUUAGUCCACGCUGUAAACGAUCGAUACUAGGUGUAGGGGGCGAUAGUCCUCUGUGCCGCA